rfam:Candidatus Bathyarchaeota archaeon RBG_16_57_9 RBG_16_scaffold_4792, whole genome shotgun sequence.
GAGCCCGUGGCCAAGUCAGGAUAAGGCACCGGCCUUCUAAGCCGGAGAGCGAGGGUUCAAAUCCCCCCGGGCUCG